rnacentral:rRNA from 1 species
UAAGAUUUUAAUGAUCGAACAGAUCAAAAUUUUAAACUUUUGCAUUUAAAUUUUAUCUUAAUCCAACAUCGAGGUCGCAAACUUUUUUUUUUAUUUGAACUAAAAAAAAAUAUUACGCUGUUAUCCCUAAGGUAAUUUUUUCUUAUAAUCAUUAUUAAUGGAUCAUUUAAUCAUUUAUUUAUGUUUAAUUUUUAAAAAAAGUUUAUCAUAUUUUUCUAUCACCCCAAUAAAAUAAAUAAUUUUAUUUUAAUAAAAAAUUUAAUAUAAUUUUAAAAUAAAAAUAAAUAUAAAACUCUAUAGGGUCUUCUCGUCUUUUAAAAUUAUUUUAGCUUUUUAACUAAAAAAUAAAUUUCUAAAAAUAAAUAAGAGACAGUCUAUAUUUCAUCAAAUCUUUCAUACAAGUUUCCAAUUAAAAAACUAUUGAUUAUGCUACCUUUGUACAGUCAUUAUACUGCAGCCCUUUAAUAAUUAUCAGUGGGCAGAUUAGACUUUAAAUUAUAUUCAAAAAGACAUGUUUUUG